AUUGAACGCUGGCGGCAGGCCUAACACAUGCAAGUCGAGCGAGCGGCGGACGGGUGAGUAAUGUAUGGGGACUGCCCGAUAGAGGGGGAUAACUACUGGAAACGGUAGCUAAUACCGCAUACUAUCGGAUAACCCAUAUGGGAUUAGCUAGUAGGUGAGGUAAUGGCUCACCUGGGCGACGAUCCCUAGCUGGUCUGAGAGGAUGAUCAGCCGCACUGGGACUGAGACACGGCCCAGAGGCCUACGGAGGCAGCAGUGGGGAAUAUUGCGCAGGGGGGGCGAGCCUGAUGCAGCCGUGGCGCGUGUAUGGAGGAGGCGCUGGGGUUGGAAGGGACGGUCAGUGGGGAGGCGGUACCGGCAGAAGAAGCACCGGCUAACUCCGUGCCAGCAGCCGCGGUAAUAC
rnacentral:rRNA from 1 species